GUCCUCGUAGGCUAACGGAUAGACCCCGGGAUUCCGGAUCCCGUGAUGCGAGUUCGAUUCUCGCCGAGGGCA
rnacentral:tRNA from 1 species